GGGACCGGCGGCGCCGGGAACGCAGGCGUAAGGGGCAGGGAGUAGUGCGGCCCCCCCUGCCCGGCUGCGAGGCGAUGCGGGCCGCGUAAACGGGCCGAGACUUCAGUGAUACAGGAUGCUGUGUGCUUUGGUAUUGUGUGCAGUUGUGCUAAUAGGGAGUGGUAAAGUUCAAAAUGAUGAAUGGAUUGACCCCACGGAUAUGCUCAAUUAUGAUGCUGCAUCAGGAACAAUGAGAAGACCUUACAAGGCAAACUAUCAUGACUCUGAGGAUAAGACUGUGGAUACAGUCAGUACUGAAAUCUUAUCAAGUUGUUCCAGGGAAGUAGAUUCCUUGCAACAGAAGAUUGCAGAUUGUGAGAAGAGGAAUGCCAAAUCACGUGAAAGUCGUAGCUUUUAUAUUUUUAAGCGAUACUUGAAUAAGAUUUUAAAUGAAGCUGGAAAACUUGGCCUUCCUGAGGAAAACAUGGGCCACGUCCAUUAUGAUGCUGAGAUCAUCCUUACAAAACAGACAUAUUUGGAGAUCCUCAGGUUUCUCAAUGAGGAAACUUGGCAGUCAGGUGCCGUGGAUGAUGCACUUAGUGAUAUUUUGAUCAAUUUUAAGCACCAUGAUUACAAAGCUUGGCACUGGAGAUUUGAAGACACUUUUGGAAUUGACCUAUAUAAUAUGUUUCUGAUACUCUUGUGCUUAGUGUGCAUUGUAACUGUAAUAGCUACAGAGCUCUGGACACAUAUUCAUUGGUUUGUUCAGCUAAAACGUGUUCUAUUAAUAAGUUUUUUCAUCAGUUUUGCAUGGAAUUGGCUUUACUUGUAUAAGCUGUCCUUUGCGCAGCAUCAAGCAGAAAUUGCAAAAAUGGGGCAGUUUGAUAACGUCUGUGCUGAGAAGUUGGACUGGGGAGAAAGUCUUAUUGAAUGGCUCAGAAGUAAAUGGACAUUUCAGGACGAUCCCUGUCAGAAGUACUAUGAAACUCUACUAGUAAAUCCUGUUUUGCUGGUUCCACCGACAAAGGCAUUGGCAAUUACUUUCACCAACUUUGUAACUGAGCCUUUGAAGCACAUAGGACAAGGUAUUGGUGAAUUCAUCAAAGCACUAAUGAAGGAGAUACCAUUCAUUCUGCAGGUUCCAGUGCUUAUUAUGAUGGCUCUGGCUGUUCUGGCUUUCUGCUAUGGUGCAGGAUCAUCAGUGUCUGUGUUAAGAUACUUAACAUCUUCUCAGAAGAAAAGUCUUCCUCCACCCAACAGUCAACAGGAGAAAAUAGCCUUUGGGCAAUAUGAUGGGAGUAAAUCAGAUGGCUAUUAUUUGCAGAAGCUUCCUUAUGUAUAUGGAGGACCUUACGACAGAGGAGAUGCUCCUGUGAGACCAGGAAAUGGCAGAAGUCCUAACAUCGUGCAUACAAGCCAUGAGCCAGAUACGCAAGUAGAAGAGUCUCACAAACCCGAACCUGGUAAUAGAUUGCACACUGAGUCAGAAGUUUGUAGACUAGAAACUAUCACAGCUGAAAACCUUACUGAAGAACAUGCACUUGAGCAGCAGAAACAGGAGACAGGCAAAGCAGAGCAAGAGACUGGAGAAAACUGUGAUCCUAAUAAAAACCUAGACGGGAAAAGUUCUGCAGUGGAACCACGUGAAGAGAAGAAAAAGAGCAGUUCAUGUCACUCAGAGGAAGGAGACUAAGGAAGCCCAAAGCUCUGCUAUGAUGGAGGAGCACAUCUUUGAUCAUCCAGUCUGGACCCCUACAGACAGACCAAGCAAUAAAGCUGCAUAUUUACAGGAAUAUAAAUAAUAAAAUAAGUUAACAAUGUAAGUGAAAAAUUACUAAAAGCCUUUGUUUUCAGAUUUAAAGCUAUUACAAGGAUUUAAUUUGUAAGUUUUGUUUCAGGUUAAACUUCUGAAAUGAAAUCAGUAAGGUAACAGUGCAACUAUAGCUAAAAUGGUUCCUCCAAACCACUUGUCCACAUGUAUCUGAAAAAAAAAAACAAAAACAAAAAAAAAACAACCCAAUUUAGUUCUUGUUCAUAUUGCAGAAUAAGAUUUAAGUGUCCUUUGUCCAGAAGAAGAAUUUUAGCAUUAGUACAUGGUAGUUCUAGUCUCAUCCAACAGAAAAUAUGGUUGGCUUCCUUUCCUUGUACAGGGAGUAAAAAAUGGCCACACUGGUGUCAGAUUUGGAGAGGCAAUAUUGAGAGGAAGUUUUCCUCCAAACUGAAAAAAAGACUGGUGGAGUAGAGGAUGUUGCCACUGAAGCAGCUGAGAGUCUGUUCUUCUCCUGGAAGUAGCAUCUCU